UACGGAGGGGGCUAGCGUUGUUCGGAAUUACUGGGCGUAAAGCGCACGUAGGCGGCUUUGUAAGUUAGAGGUGAAAGCCCGGGGCUCAACUCGGAAUUGCCUUUAAGACUGCAUCGCUAGAAUUGUGGAGAGGUAAGUGGAAUUCCGAGUGUAGAGGUGAAAUUCGUAGAUAUUCGGAAGAACACCAGUGGCGAAGGCGACUUACUGGACACAUAUUGACGCUGAGGUGCGAAAGCGUGGGGAGCAAACAGG
rnacentral:rRNA from 1 species